AACGAACGCUGGCGGCAUGCCUAACACAUGCAAGUCGAACGAGACCUUCGGGUCUAGUGGCGCACGGGUGCGUAACGCGUGGGAACCUGCCCUUAGGUUCGGAAUAACUCCCCGAAAGGGGUGCUAAUACCGGAUAAUGUCCUCGGACCAAAGAUUUAUCGCCUUUGGAUGGGCCCGCGUUGGAUUAGCUAGUUGGUAGGGUAAAAGCCUACCAAGGCGACGAUCCAUAGCUGGUCUGAGAGGAUGAUCAGCCACACUGGGGCUGAGACACGGCCCAGACUCCUACGGGAGGCAGCAGUGGGGAAUAUUGGACAAUGGGCGAAAGCCUGAUCCAGCAAUGCCGCGUGAGUGAUGAAGGCCUUAGGGUUGUAAAGCUCUUUUACCCGGGAUGAUAAUGACAGUACCGGGAGAAUAAGCUCCGGCUAACUCCGUG
rnacentral:rRNA from 1 species